CCUACGGGGGGCAGCAGUGAGGAAUAUUGGUCAAUGGACGAGAGUCUGAACCAGCCAAGUAGCGUGAAGGAUGACUGCCCUAUGGGUUGUAAACUUCUUUUAUAAAGGAAUAAAACGAGGCACGUGUGGCUUUUUGCAUGUACUUUAUGAAUAAGGAUCGGCUAACUCCGUGCCAGCAGCCGCGGUAAUACGGGGGAUCCGAGCGUUAUCCGGAUUUUUUGGGUUUAAAGGGAGCGUAGAUGGGUUUUUAAGUCCGUCGGGAAAGUUUGGGGGUCAACCGUCAAAUUGCAAUUGAUACUGGCGGUCUUGAGUACACUUGAGGUAGGCGGAAUGCGUGGUGUAGCGGUGAAAUGCAUAGAUAUCACGAAGAACCCCGAUUGCGAAGGCAGCUUACUAGACUGUGACUGACAUUGAUGCUCGAAAGUGUGGGUAUCAAACAGGAUUAGAUACCCUUGUAGUC
rnacentral:rRNA from 1 species